CCGCCUUUAUUGUUUUUCAGCGUCUUUAAUUGGUUGUGAGUUUGUGCAACAUUUCCGGGAGUGGUGUUUGUUUACUCUUCGCGAAGGGCGGAAAAACCUCAAACAGAUCUAAUAAGUAGAAGCUGCAAACAUGGUCUGACUGAUUAUAAAAGCGAGCGUAUACGCCGUCAGGAAGAUCCGGGCGGCCAUUACUAAGGGAGAGCAAGUGGAAGAGCCCAUUGUGACGCCAUGUAGUGCUAUUGCUGAAAAGAAAGCUGCAGGAGCGCUCAGAGAGCCACCGGAGGCCAUAAUGGCAUCUGAAAACGAUGAGGCCAUCAACGGGGAAGUGGCCUCCAGAACACCUUUGACUGUGCAGAAAUAUGACUCUUGAUGUUAAAACUGUGCUCCUCUUAAAACAUUUAUUUGAAUCCUCUUGUAAAAUGUUGAUAAUGUCUGCUGCAGCGUAUGAAGACUCAACUCAAAAACCUCUUCAAAGAGGCUGAGUGGAUCUGAUGUUUUUUGCAAUGAUAAUAUCAAUAAAUGCUUGAAAUCAA